UUUAAUUUAAUACAAAUAAAUUUAAAUAAUUAGAAGUGUAGAAUUUUGCAGUAGUCAUGGUGAUGAUGAUGAUGUCACAGAGAUGGUACAUAUUUUUUCAUUAGGACUGCUGAAGGUUUGUUUAUUUCUACUUUGGGAGCUUCAUCAUUCACACUCACAGAUUCAGGUGAGAGAGAUUUCUCUAUGUGUUAAAACUGACAGGUGUGUAAACUCCACACACACUGAGCACACCACAGAUUAGAAAUACAUUUAGAAGAUGAGAGUAUGACUGCGUUGUACAACUCAAUACUAAUAUUUCAUUACAGAGAGUGAAAAACAGGGUUUGAAGUAGAGACAGCACCGAUCCCAUACCCAGUAUCAGUACCGGGCCGAUACCAGCAAAAACAAAAUGAUGGAUAUCGGAUAUCAGAAAAAACGUAUUGUAUAUCAGAUCCUGUAACAAAUGGAGAAGUUUGGAAUUGCAUUUUGGAAAUAAAGACACUCAACUGCUUUUUCCUUUGUUAGGAUCAUUUUUUGUUAUGUAUACAUUAUCCUAUUUAUUAUUUUCUUUCCAGUGCAGUUUUUUUGGUCAGUCAUUCACAUUUAUUUAUUAUAGAGGCAGGGGAAAGGGGAAACAGCUGAGAAAUUCUCACUUUUAUAAAAAUGAAUAGUGAAUAUAAAAAUAAAACUGCCUUUCAAUUCAUUCAGAAUAACUUAACCAUACGCAUAACCACAUAAAGUGAUAUAUUUCAAAAAGCUUAGUGAAGACAAUGGCCGUGCUCGUGAUGAGAAACUGUUCUGAGGUUUUUAUACCUCAUCCUGAAGGAGGAGCUGAUCAUCAUUCAUGCUGGACAGGGGAGUCCGACGUCCUGCAAUGUGAUGAUAAAUACGUGUCUGAUGGGAAGAAUUGAACAUUUCCUGGCCCACUGAUGAGUGAUACGAUGCAGAAGGAUGAGCUGAUGGGAAUUAUCCAGGGGAAAUGUCAGGAAUGUUUGCUACACUUGGCUGAACCUGAGCAACACUAUUCCUAUUUCUUCUGGUUAGUUAUGGAUCGCUUCUGUACUUGAAAUGGAAUAAGUGCUGGAGUUCAUUAUGCUGUAAAUAAACAAAUCAUCUUCUCAAUUCAAUAAAUUUAAGUAUCUGAUUACAAUAGCACUCAACCUUUUACUGCUCCAUUCUGCUAGUGACUAAAUCAUACUUUCCUGAACAAGCUGCUCUGUUGUGUUGACUAAUGAAGUAAAAUUGGCCAAACUAAUGAGAACUUGUUCAGCCAAAACUACCUCAGAACUCUCAUGAGCAUAGAUAAGAAACAUACGAUGAUCAGAUGAAGCUAAAAUUGAGUUCACAAAAAAGAGAAGUGCUGUGGAAGCGGGGGCGUGGUCGAGCACCAGUUGGUGAAUGGAGGGCGGAGCCGGAGAAGGUGAGCGGUAAGGAAUGCACACCUGCGGGGAAUUCUACUAACGAGUGUUCUGUGCUGCAGUGAGCUGGGCCUAAAAAUGAGAGAGAGAGAGAGAUCCAGCACAGAGCUGCGUGUGCAUGCUUAACUGUGUGUGUAAAUAAAGUAAACCGCUGAAAGUGCAAGUGGAGAAUAAAACGCCUUGGAGUUGUUCCCAAGCCUGCCUUCUGCUUCCUCAUUUCCGCCCGAACACGCCACGUGGACACUUUGCAACUGCUGCUGGAGGAUGUGGCUGGUGAUCUGGGCCCCCUGCUGGGAACACCCAGACAAAGCUGAAGUACCACAUGACCUCUGUGCUGCAUUUAGCAGUUUGUAUGUUCAAAUAGAUUUAAUAAAUCAACGUAGAUGCACAGGAACUCUAUUCAGUUAUGAUAUUGAUAUUAAUAAAACUCAGCAGCCUCUUAGUGGGGGUCAUUUAAAUCCAAUGUAGCUUCCAGAGUCUUCAGGGAUGUCUGCCCAGAUCCUGCUCGCUACAGAGGAUGGAAGUGCUACCCUUCCCUUCCCUUCCCAGGUAGCCCCAACACCAGCUCAUAAACAUGCAGUAAGCUGUAUGACCAUAUUGCCUCAGGAGCAGCCUUUCACACCUCUGUGGAUUCUCCUUGAUGUCUCGUCCCAUAAUACUGUAGCAUAGACACAUUUUCCAGUUGGAGUAGCCAGAUGUUGAGUCCUGCUCAGGAACAUCUGUCAAAUUGCACUACUUCAAGGACCCUGCCCAACCUUCAACUCUCAAAUCCUGCUAGCAUAGAAGCACCUGGAACACGGUGCUGAGUAAAGUGUUUGCCCUAACACCAUGUUGUAGACAAAAGUAUAAGUACAAAUAUGACAAGAACGAUUUAGCUAUGAGCCACAUUAAACAACAUUGGAAAUCAAAUGGUGGCUCUCAAGACAUGUCCUGGGGACUUUGUUAAAUUUGUUAAAAACCCAUGUAGACAAUACUGAUUUUAGAACUCUUAGCAGCAGCCUAUUUUUCUCCUCAUGUGUAAGUCAUGUGAAGGAUUGUGGUUUAUGAAGUGCUGUGAGGCCCUGUGAGGUGCACUGUAACAAGGGUUUAUUAAAGUGCUCUAGAAAUAAAAAAAAUAAUAAUAACUUAGUUACUGUAAAAAAUACUGUGAAAUGUAAGUGGAAAAAAACAAACAACAAAAGAAAAAGAAAAGGAAAGGUGAUGGGACAUGCCAAGCUGGGACUAUUCACAGGGUAUGGGUGCUUGGUAAGGCGUGGCACUUGCCCGUUUCAGGCAAGUAUGGAUCUCUGCAGAUCGGCGUAAUAGGCAUGUUGAAAGGUUUCUCUUAUUGGUGGAAAGAGGUUCUUGCUGGGAACUGAAUUGAUCAAUCAGCAUUAACCAUACAGAUACGUCAUCUCCCUUAGACACGAAGAAGAUGGAGGUAAGAUGUAGUGUCAUAAAUGUGUAUGUAUAUUAACAGUAGCUAAGUAGUUAAAAAUAUAAAUAUAUACCUAGGUUGCAUUAUAUCUUACAUAUCUUAGUUAUUAAUUUA